rnacentral:rRNA from 1 species
AUUGAACGCUGGCGGCAUGCUUUACACAUGCAAGUCGAACGGUAACAGGCCGCAAGGUGCUGACGAGUGGCGAACGGGUGAGUAAUGCAUCGGAACGUGCCCAGUCGUGGGGGAUAACGCAGCGAAAGCUGCGCUAAUACCGCAUACGAUCUCUGGAUGAAAGCGGGGGACCGAAAGGCCUCGCGCGAUUGGAGCGGCCGAUGUCAGAUUAGGUAGUUGUGGGGUAAAGGCCCACCAAGCCAACGACCUGUAGCUGGUCUGAGAGGACGACCAGCCACACUGGGACUGAGACACGGCCCAGACUCCUACGGGAGGCAGCAGUGGGGAAUUUUGGACAAUGGGCGCAAGCCUGAUCCAGCAAUGCCGCGUGCAGGAAGAAGGCCUUCGGGUUGUAAACUGCUUUUGUACGGAACGAAACGGUCCGGGUUAAUACCCUGGGCUAAUGACGGUACCGUAAGAAUAAGCACCGGCUAACUACGUGCCAGCCGCCGCGGUAAGAC